AUGUCUCUCUUUCUCUGCCAAAGCUUCAUUACGAACAUCAACAUCACCCCAGCAAGGGAAAUACCACCAGCCACAAGUAGAGAGGCCGGGUGCCGAAUUCUCAGCAGUUUUUACCAGAACGGGGCUGCUGCACAAGAGACCCUGGUGAGCUCCCAGCUGGUGCAAGGCUGCAGGAUCUCUCCAGCUCUGCACACUCUGGCCCAGAACUUGCUGCUUGGACCACAGACCACUGUUUCUGAGAACUUGCCAAAAAAUAAACUGAGGUCCUAAUGCUGCUCAACAAAAAAAGUAGGAAAUAAAUCACAAGUCUCACACCUCCUUGGCAUGUUCCAAGCUCCACCAGAGUUUUCUUUUAUGGGUUAUCUUUUACCUGGUUUUGCAGCCGUGCCAGGAUGACCAAAGCAUUUAACACUCGGAGAGUGAUAACUGCUGUGAAGUUCCCCCCUUCUGAUCUGCCUCGAUAACACUCAAGGUGUGAUUAUCCCAUCCUUGCAUCGGACUACUGGCCUUUUGCUAAACCAAAACAAGCUAGGCCGUACUGAAAUUGAAAGACCUUCCUACUUCACAGCUGUUGUGCAAUUGAUGCUCAUCAAGGAUGGUUAAAGGCACAAGACAAAACACACCCUGCAUUUGAGGGUAAGGUGUAUUAACCUUUCCACUUGGAAUGCCUAAUUGCUCAAAUAUUGCCAACAUUGUUCAAACUGCCAGAUAUGUUAGGGAACAGGCAGAACUGGAGGGACAACUCUAUAUGAGGGGUAUGACAAAUUUAUUGGGUAAAUUGUAUGGGAGUGCUUAACCCUUCUCUCUGUUCUGUUUUUUGUAAGGACAGUUGCCAAGUAGAGUUGGUCAUGACUAAUUCAUAUGAGGAAACAACACGGAGAAGUUAAACAGCAACAACCAGUUUAAUUUCACUUGUUACCAGUAAGGCCUAACUUAAGUUUCAAAAGGAGAUGAAAGGUAAAUUUGCCAUUUGCUGUCUAUGUUUUAAAAGCUGCAAGAGAGCUUGAAGAGUGACAUGCUCUGUAGUACUAAUGCUACCUCUGUCCUUAGAGCAGAGGGAGGAGACAAACACUGUGUAAUUUCUGUGUAUACAAGGACAAAAAUUCUCCAAAGCAUCGGUUUUGUUUUGUUCCACCCCAUUCCUAGCUUUUAAAAAUCAUUCUAGAGGUACAUUAGAGGACUAGAGGACACAUAUGUGUCAAUGCCAAAACUGACCAAGAUGAUACAGGAACAUUUUCAUGGGGGAGAAGAAGGAAACAUAUCCCAAGCAUCAACUCUAGCAAACAAUGCAUCAGGUAUGAAUAUUUUACAGGUGGUACAACCAAUCACCAGCCACCUCUCUUCUGGUUUAUCUUCUUAUCUCCCCUGAAUCAAAGGGUACAACAAUGGUGACAGUGAGUGGAUGAGGUACUAUGUAUUUAGACAACAUUGUAGAAGAUGAUUUGUCAACAGGGAGACAGAAACCUUUCAUAAUGCUUGGAGGAAAAUUCACAGGGUAAUCCCAGGAUAAUAGAUUUUUAAUCCUAGGUUGUUUCCUUGUAUGAUACAAGAUAAUGAGUGGCACCCACUCCCUUGAACCUUUCUGUAACUUCCUUGAGAUGGGCCAUUUCCUUUUGAAAGAUGUUCAGCCCAAACUGAAACAUUUACCAAUUCCUUCAUCCCUGUGGCUAGAUCAUUAUUUUGCUAAAACUGAAUAGAGCAACACAAGAAUCUUUUCAAAGGCAGUAUAUGGAAUUGUUAUCCCUUUGAGCCAACUCUGGGAAGGCAAGCACUUGGCUGAGCUUUUGUAAAAUCAGGUUGCAACACAAUUCUCUUCAUUUAAAAUGCUUCUGAUUUAAAUGUCCACCAGUCUUGAUUUAAAUGUCCAUUACAUGGGUUGUAGUUGAAGACCAUCCUCAAUGAGGCUGCGAAUGGGCUGAUCUGCCCUCUGCUGAGCCGGGUGAAUCUCUGUGAAGAGCCUGAAGGCAAAUGGCCCUUGCAUACAUUAGCAGCUCAGCAAUUUUCUCAGCAUCUACAAAAAAGCUGGGGGUGAUCACUUGGCAGUGAAAGGGACACUUUGCUAGCAUGGACCAAAUUAUUUUCUUCCCUGCUUGCCUGUAUCCAGGAUGUAUCAUGGAUGGAGAUGUCAGUGUGUUAACAAGAGCACCAGCUCCAUGUCACUGGAUUUUCAGCUGCAGGGAAAAGUAUUAGCAAAGGAAGAUGUUCAAAACAAGGAAAACCCUAAAAAAAUUAAUGAUUUGGUAAUAUCAAUCCAGCAAAAUACUGAAGGGGAGCUUUGGCAGGGUGGCAACAGGCUUCCAAGGAGCCAGAAAGCAUCAUGGAUGUUACAGUUUGUCAUGUCAUGGGUGAAAUUUCGUGCCUGAGAGUAAAGUCGAAGAUGAGAAACUCUGGACCUUUCAAUGUGGGAGAGCUGAAUCUAUCAAAAUAGUUUCAGUUUGCAUCUACAGACUGUGAAAAGAUGUUCUUCAUUUUUUUUUCUUUUUCUCUCUCUUAGUAUUUUAUUUCACCCUUGCCCUUAGUUGUGUGGGUUCACUUACUAGGCACC
ensembl:lncRNA